UACGAAGGGGGCUAGCGUUGCUCGGAAUUACUGGGCGUAAAGGGCGCGUGGGCGGUCAUUUUAGUCAGGCGUGAAAUCCCCGGGCUUAACCUGGGAACUGCAUUGGUGACUGCAUUGCUGGAGUAUGGCAGAGGGGGGUGGAAUUCCACGUGUAGCAGUGAAAUGCGUAGAGAUGUGGAGGAACACCGAUGGCGAAGGCAGCCCCCUGGGCCAAUACUGACGCUCAUGCACGAAAGCGUGGGGAGCAAACAGG
rnacentral:rRNA from 1 species